GCGCAAGGACCAUCCCCAAAGUCGCUAUCAUACACAGGGAAUGUUCUAGCCAUCAGCGGGUGCAGCCCUGUGGAUGUUAGUGGCAAUGAGCGAAUCAGGAAAGGAGAAAAGGGGAACACAAGGAGGAGUCCUUGGCAUCUGGUACCGGGCACUGCUCACCCCCGCUGGAAGCCACAGUCCCUGCCCAAAAGACUGAUUGACUUUUAUUGACUUUAACAUCUGAGACUGUAAUUUAAAGGCACAAGAGGAG